rnacentral:rRNA from 1 species
AUACAGAGGGUGCAAGCGUUAAUCGGAUUUACUGGGCGUAAAGCGCGCGUAGGUGGCUAAUUAAGUCAAAUGUGAAAUCCCCGAGCUUAACUUGGGAAUUGCAUUCGAUACUGGUUAGCUAGAGUAUGGGAGAGGAUGGUAGAAUUCCAGGUGUAGCGGUGAAAUGCGUAGAGAUCUGGAGGAAUACCGAUGGCGAAGGCAGCCAUCUGGCCGAAUACGGAAACUGAGGUGCGAAAGCAUGGGGAGCAAACAGAAUUAGAUACCCUGGUGGUCCAUGCCGUAAACGAUGUCUACUAGCCGUUGGGGCCCUUGAGGCUUUAGUGGCGCAGCUAACGCGAUAAGUAGACCGUCUGGGGAGUAUGGUCGCAAGGCUGAAACUCAAAUGAAUUGACGGGG